GGAGCUCUGGGCACCUUCAACAGGUGACUAAUCUUCCUGGCCUUUGAAUUCUUAGCAAGGUUGAAGGAGAUGGUUAGGACAGCCAGUCUUAUCUGCCAACAGAGAAGGAGAAGCAAUGACACCUGCUCGAGCUCCCUGCCCUUUGAGAAGAAGGGUGUCUCAGAAAAAUGUGUACAUGUUAUAGAUGUCCAUAAAGUACUUUUCUAUGAAGACGAACAAAGGAGGGAGAGGUUGGUUUGCUGUUGGUUUUUGUUUGUUUUUUUUGUUUGUUUGUUUUUUGUUUUUUGUUUUUUUUUUCAAAUUCUGGCAUGUGGGCUCUUGGAACCUUUGUUAGUGACAGUUCUUCCUUAUUUUCUGGUGCUCGUGUUGAUGCAGGCCAAGAGUCAUGUUUGAUAGACUUUGUCGUUGACCAUAGUGGUAGCAUUGGUCUCUCUGAGGUUGCUGUGAUGCUGGGCAAUGGGAAUACUUCCAGUCCCUGGACAACCUGUGUCACAAGCCAGCCUGCUGCUAGGGCAGGGUAGUCAGAUGCUUCAGGUUGUUAGAUGUUUUUCUCCAAGGUGGGGAAAGUAACAUUUUCAUGACUGUCUUGUGAUGUGAAGUAGUUUUCAGGUCACUAAUUCAGGCUUUUCUCAGGAAAGGUCAAGUUUCUCUUCUCUUCCAUGCUUAUCUAGAAAUCUGCCCAGUGACCUGACAGAUUUCUUCUUUUCUUUUUUUUUUUUUUUUUUUCCUCCACACUUGCAGUAGGCAUAGAUUUAAACCUUCCUGGGUGUUUGUCUGGAUUACUGUAGUUUUGCAGACUGAUCCAUAUUAAACAGUAUAAGGACAAUGUUCUGAAAGAUGCAUGCUUAGCCUUGGCAACUCUGAUCAAAUUUCCGAGGUAAGGCGGAUAGCUUAGUGAACAUGGGGUACAGAAAGCUGUGUUGAUAACUGUGGAAGAUCUACAUCUUCCUCCUUUCCUUCCUUCUGGAAAUCCUAAGCUCACUGUGAAUAGGAGGAGAAGGAUUCUGCUGGUGUUACCUGCCUGGUGUUGUCAGGCAGUUAUGGUGGGCCAGAAUUAAAUGACUUCAGGUAAUUCUAGUUUUUAUGUUGCUUUCCUUUGAGCCCAGGUAUGUUCCAAGUGUCAGUUUUCAAACAGAACUUCAGGGUUCCUGCAUUUCUGUCUGUAGCAAAGCUUCAGUGAGGUUCAGUCAGGUUCAAACCUGGUCUUCAGCAAACUGUAGCAAUUUCGCUACAUUUCUCAGUCUUUUUCUUCUUCUUGAACGUGCCUGCUUUGAUCGUUGACCUCUGCCCAAGUAUUCAAGUGUCGUGAUGAUGGACACUAGUGUGCCCAGGGUGGUAUUAGUCAGCCACUGGAAGGACUGAUGUUUGUCUCUUUUAUAUCCUUCCAUAAAGAUUAUGCCGAAUCUUUCUCCAUGCUAUCUGCAGAUGCACAGCCCUCUCUUUCUAGGAUUUAUUAUUUCACGUUACUUUAUUUCUCUUCCUACUGGUUUUCUAGGAAGGAGCUUGUAGCAACAAGAAUGCUAAAGCAGCUGUGCAGCAGUUGGGUGAAAAUUAAAAUUCAACUCUUAUUUUGGAAAAUCAGGUUCUUGUGAAAUUUUCCCAAGUGCAAUGAAACCCAGAGAGAAGGGUUUUUUAUUUCUCUACACAAGACUUGUCACUGAAAAAAAAUCCUCUGUUUUUGAGGGUAACAGCAGGAAUGCUUACAUUAGGCAAGGUGCCAGAAACCAACAGUGUUUUUCCCACCAUGCUGUCUAUACUUGCUCAGAGCAGGAUUGUACAGUGCUGUGUUUCAAAGAGGAAUAGCUGCUCAGAGCCUGAUCUGUUUUGGUACCCUUGUGCUACCGCAGAUAUGGAACAGCCAGUGAUAAUAGGAACAUUUUUCAGCUUGAAAACAAGUAGAAAAAAUGAAAAGCUUUCCUGUAAGUACUCUUCACAGAAAGAUAAUUGCCAGUAUUUUGUUUUUCUUACUCCCAUUAGGAUUUUUAAGACUUUAUGGCUAUGGCAUCUUCAACCUGCCCGCUUUCAAUCCAUGUUGGAGCUGCAGAAAGCCCAUUUCAAGAGCUAUGGAAAGCUCAAGGCAUGGUAUCAUCAAGUCUUGGAUGAUCAACACUUUGCAAAUGUUUCCAUGAUUAGAGCUCUGGCCAAUGGGGCCAACUUUUCAAUCCAUUAUAGGAGCAGUCUAAUUGUGUCCAGGUAGAUGGGUGAACACGUUCCUUGAGUCAGACAGAUCCAAAUCAGCUGCACGUGCGGUGCUCUUAAUUUAUGUUCUUUCCCAGCAGUGUAGGCAAAGUAAGUAUAGCUCGGUGUUCCCCUUUGUGCUGACAUUGCCUGAGAAAAGAGGAAUUGAUGGUAGAGUAAUAAAUUUGAUUAGUGGCUUGGUAAACUUUCCAAACUCUGUAUUUUCUCUGCAAAUCCAUGUUCCACAUUCUUCUUUAUCCCUGGUUUCUAAAGAACAUGUGAAGGACAAGGAGAAUCCUUUUAUGUUUCUUUUAAGAGCUAUUUUCUUUACACAAAGAUGGUUUGUUCUCUGCCCCUUGUAAAAGUGAUUGUUUUUCCCAGUGUUUCUCUGAUCCCUGCAGUCUAGCCCUAUACCCUAGGUGUAUACUUACUGGCUGGUAGCUUAGGAUGAACCCAAGUUUACUGAUAAAUUGUGGAUUUUGUUUUCCUAUGGUAAACUAAUAUAUGUAUUUGUUGUGUUCUUCUCCACCAUGUGUUAUAACACUGAAGUCAUUCUUGUUAUCUGAAUCUCAGGGAGCACUGAAAAUGAAAUAGUUGCAUUUGAAAUGAAAAUAUGUUUGUUUGUUUUCUGUGGCUGCAAAAAUAGGGCUUAGUCAGACCUUUGUACUUUCAGCAAUAAGCAAAAGACUUCACUGCUUUCAUCUAGUGUGUCAGCUGAGUGGGGACUUGAGUCCAGGAGGGUGAGACAAUGUGCAAAAAGCCAAGGGAGACAGCACUUUAUUUCUAGGACGACUUGUCCUUUUUCAGGCAUUCUAAAACCAGAACGGCAAAGCAAAAUAGGGAAAUGCAGGUCUUAGUGUUUGUGUCUGGAAACUGUAUAACAGCUGAAAAAUUGACAUUUUGUGUAAAUUGAAAGCAAUAUAGCAGUUAACUGACUGUGUAGUAUAUGAUGCAUGAAAAAAAAAAUGUGCAUUUUACCUGCAGCUUCUCACCCUAAGCUUUCUUUAGUCUAAUCCUUCAAGCUUCCCCAUGAUUUACCUGCUGGUGUUAUUUGUGGAACUGAUUUAAAUAUGCUUGGCUCUGUAAACAGGUCAGUGCAUAGUCUCCUCCAGACAAUUUUAACGUACUUCCCUUGGGUGCAGAGUUCUAUUCAGUGUGCUGUGGUUACACUGAUCUAAAUGGAAAUACCUCUAUCUGUGUAUACAAAAGCGUUAGUUGGGAAUUCUGGAAAUUUAGUGGAGACACCUCUGCUGCAUGGAACAGAUGAAAACAAUGAGCUGUAGUGUUUGUGGGAGAGUAGAUCCUUCAUUUGACAGCUGGACUUGGCAUUGUUAAUGCUAAUACUUAUUUUUAAUCAAUUGAAUUAAGCACCAUGACAAAGGAAUAUAUAUUUUACUUUGUGCUCUUUAUUUUUAUUUUUUCCUGGCUUUUUAUGGUCUGGAAGAAACUUCUGACAUUGUCAGAGGACAGCAUGUUCAGAAACCUUUCCAGCACAAAAAGUUACAGCAUCGUCACUCCCUGUUCUCUGGAAGGAAGAUGUGAGAUGUAGUAUCUUAACCUGCAGCUGCAAGGAGGGCAAAGCUACUCACCUAUUAAAGAGUUCGUAACCUUUGGAACAAAUCUGUUAGAUGGAUUGCAUUGCUUCAAGUAAUGCUGCCACCAAAACUUCAAGUAAAAGCUCUUUCCAGUCUGUUAAAGGGUAAUUAAGUAUACUACUGAGGUUGUACAAGUAAAUGCUUGUUGCCUUGUAGGAACUCCGCAAAAAUUACUCCUGGUAAUCUUGUCAUCCUAGUUAUUUUACCUGGUUCCUGUAAAUUACAUAUCAAUAAUUACAACCCAGUGUGCAAUAGGAGUAGAUACAGAGGUGUUCAUGGAAGUGGUAUUUCAAGGGGGAAGAACAGAUGUUUUAGUUUCUAAAUUAUUAUUUAAAAAUUGCUAGUGACGGUAACUGGUUUGUAGUUACCCUAAAUUGUCCCAAAUGCUGAUGCUUUUCAGCCAAGGUAAUACCUUGUAGUGAUAAACAAAACACCAAAGUGAACAUGCCUAUUUCAAGACAACCUGAAUGCUUUAAGCAACAUAUUUAUACAUAAAAGUACAGUUCAUGAUUUACUUAACCUUAAAACUGAAAGCUAUCCUAUUACUUUGGGCUUAAUAUCAUCAUUGUCAGACACAUAAUUACUUUGUGGUUGGAUGGCUGCCAGUCAGUAGGCUGUGAAUGGGGAGUUAUAAAUAACUUUUUUUGAAAAACCAAUUCAGAUUUUAUGGUGAGACAUGCUGUUUAUCACAUGAAUGUUGCAGUCUGAGCUUAGAAAGGUGGAUUUAGUGAAGGAAAUCAUACAGUACUUAUCCAGUGACCGAUACAUGUCUUUCUGUUCAUUAAUGUUCAUUUUUGCAGGCUCUGUAGAUGUCUCACAGCCCGUACUGUUAAUUUACUUUUUUUUUUUUUCUCAGCACUCUUUAUUUGGAUCUUGUUUGGUUGAAGGAUACGCUGAGUUUCAAAUUCUAAAAGGAAAAAAAAAAUGAGUAGGAAAUCAUCAAAUGUAUUUUCCGUUCCCAGUAACUCAUUACCUUAGUCUCACAGUGCACUCUUGCCAUGUGUCUUCCUCAGUUGCAGAGGAAUGUGGGAGGUUGUUUCUAACAUGACUUUACACAACUGGAAGAAUCAGCUAUCACCUGUAAGAGAAUUUUAUAGUCUGAUUUUCUUAUUUCAACUUCAGCUGCAAGUUCCUGACUUUUUCUUAUGUGAAGAGGAGGUGCUCUAGGUGUGGUGCUGAUGUUCCAGCAUGUGCAAUGUAACCCAGCCACAUGAGCUUCCUUCUCUGCCUAGGGCCAAAGAUGUUGUGCAGUCAAAACUCGGUGUAUAGGCACCUGUAAAACCGUAUAUAAAAUAGUUGGGUAAUCAUGGGAUUUUGAGGGGAAUAUACCUUUUAGAAAAGGCAUUGUUGAAAUUCAAAUCUGUUUCAAUACAUAUUAUUUCUGUAGGUGGAGUCUCAGAUGAGAGAUUCCACAGAAAUACUGUGAAUAAUUGUGUAUGUUUUUGUCCAUAGAGUCUAAAGCUACAGAUGCUAGCAAAUUCAACUGUGAAGCAAAUUCCUGGUUUCUAGUUUUUUUGCUUUGAGCUAACUUGAUUUCCUCCUGUUUAUGACAAAACACAUACAUUAACUCUCCAGUGCUGAGUUUUUGGUGUAAGAUACAAUCAUCUAAAUUGAUCCUUGUCAAGUAUGAAACUUGUAAGUUUUACUCAGAAGUAAAAUAUAUGUCAGUGAGAUUUAAACUAAGCACUCAUCUACUCAUGGUAGGUAGUCCAUAAUCAAGCUCUUUAAAAUGUUACCAAGGAUUCCUGAGGAAUUAUUUACAGAAAAUCCACACUUGCUAGGCAGCAUACCCAAGGUCCAUAGAGUACACGAGGCCUCAAUAUUUAAUUAAAUUGGAACAAACCUUGUUGUAAUAACAUGGAUUAAUAUGUACUUAAUGUAAUUAAUAGUAAGUUAAAAAGUAAAUUAAUGCUUAAACCAGAUGAUAUAAAAAAUCUGUUGUGAGGAUCCAUAGUGAUUAUUAGCAGAAUGUGAAAAUAGAUGCAUUUUUAAUUAUUUGUCUACUAUUUAUGAUUUCUCACAAACUGUUUGUAUACCAUAAGAUACCAUUUGCCAACAAAACUCUCAUUAAUAAUGAGGUCACUGUUGCUUAUAGAUAACAUUUUGAUUCACUGAUGCUGAGUGAGAAGGUAGAAUGUGGUAGCAGACUUUGUGCCCUAUGAAGGAAUGGGAUAUGCCUGAAUUCUGGAGAGUUAUUUCAUUGCAGAAGUGAAAGUUUGGGCUUCAACUUGUGUGCUGCUCUUAAAGACAAAAAAAAAUAAUAAAAAAAAAAAACUGGACUAGUAAGUAGAGCAGGAGAAGUCUGUAAAGUCACUGUAUUGUUUACUCAGUCAAGGCCUGUUAGAGGAGAUGGUGUUUUUACUCCAGGAUCAGUGAGGUUUGGGACCUGCGCUGUUUUGUGGAUAUGUGGUUGUGAGCUAUGGCUGACAUUCCUGAGGGCAGGUCAUCUUCAGAUCUGCUGCUGCAAAUUGUACCAAAGAUCUCCAGUGCAAUGUUCUAGUUUAUUGCUGGCUAAAGGGUACAAAAUACGUUCCGAGCCAUCACUUACUGUACUGUGGCAUGGAAAAGCAGAUAUAGAGGAGAUUGGAAUUAGGGUUUUGCUUUUUUCUUAACCAUAUCAAUAACCGCCUUUAGUAAUAAAAAUUUCAAUAUAGUUGUCAGGAUUUUUUCUUUUCUAUAUUUUAUGAAUGCUAUUAAAAAGCCAUUCUCCAGUAAACAGCUGAUGACACUCAGAAAAUAUUUGCAAAUAAUCUAUUAAUAAUGAACUCUUUAUUCUCUUUCUGAUGUACUUUUAAUUCUUUGCUGGGAGAAUUUUUUCCAGAGGCACUUGCAGUAUUAGACUGCUGCUUCUCUGCCUGCAAGAUACCAGCACAGCUUCUUCACCAGCUGGUUGGUAUCACAGCUGGCUGCGUGAUGCUUUCAGCCCAUAAAGGCAGGGGUAGAUGGACUCCAAUGGAAAUGUUCAUUUCAUACAGGUGAUCCCCACCAUGAAGCCUGAUAGCAAAGAAGUAUAGAAAAUAGGAUGUAAAGGCAACUUCGCUUCUCAAAAAUGAUUUUCAGAGAUUUUCACCUGUCACUACAACUCCCCAAGCAGAAGAGGGAGUGUGACCUUGUCACGCUACUCAUCCUCUACAUUCUGUCUCAAGUGAAUACAGCCCUUGUGUAAACCCUACUUUGUGGUUAAUCGAAGUAUUUCACCAUCUGCAAUUCCUUCUACUAAUGAAGAGGAAGAAGUUUCUUUUUUGCCAGAAAUAUUUCUUCUAGGCUUUUUCUUCCUCCACAACCUUUAACUGGCGUAGAUGUUCUGGUUACAUACCAUCAGGUCCCAUAAUUUGUCAUAAUGCUACUCAAUGGCUCAUCUAAAAAAUUUAAAGGGAUGUAGUCAAGGUUGUUAGGCCCCAAGUUUAACCUGCAAUACUUUUGGAAAAAAAAAAAAAAAAAAAAAAGAUUGACAUAAACUGUCCCCCAGAGCCUGAGCAUUUCCACUGCAUCCAAAAAGGAAGCGGCAGCUGGGAAAAAAUCCAAAAUGAUUUUUUGAGCAACACAGAAGCCGAAAGGUUGGUCUCUUUGAGGCUUUGCUUGUGAAAAUUGUUCUGUGCUUUGGUCCUGCUUGUAGGAAGACAUUGAAUAUACAAGAAACUUACUUUACAGUGAGUGAAGAGGACAGGAUUUGUUGGAGUGAAGGAGGUUGCAAAGACCCUGCGAGGUACAGAGGAGUUUUGUCUUUUCAAGGGCAGCUGCCCUGUUCAAAUCCUGGGAGUUGUUGCUUCCUAGCUCUUACAGUCCCUGCCACAUACACCAUUUUUCAGAGCUUUGUAGUUCUGCCCUAACAUAUCAACCAGUGCAGGACGCUGAAGCCUGAGUUCUUGAUCGACAAAUCCAAAAUGAACAUUUGCUACUUGUGUAUCGGGGGAGGAGAUCGAGAUUAUUAUCUGCAAAUAAAAGGAACUGUCAAAUGCUGUGGAGUCUCCUUAAUGGCAAUUCAAGUAAGAAGCCCAACUUCUUUUGCAAGAGGACAGAAGGAAUGGACUAGGUUAAAAUAAGCACUGUGAAAAGGAUGAGAGUUUUUCAAGGAAAAUUUUCAAUCCCUGUUUAAUAUCUGAGCUGUAUGUUUCUGGGGGUAGGUUUCCUCAUUUCCCCUCCUGGUUCUGGGUGAGCAAGCAGUCCUCAACUUGUGCAUAAAUGCACAUAUGCACAAUAAAAGGAAGAAUCUGCUAGUCCAACAACCCUUAUUAUAUUUGAUUGCACAGUAUUCUGACAGUAAUCUUGUACUAUUAUGUGUCAUGUUUUUUCUGUGCUAUCAAUUACUAUGACUACCUGCAUGUCAACUCCAUGCAGAAGGUGGAGAGCCUCUGCUUUCUUUUAGAGGACUGAUUGAUGGUUUAGAAGAAUACAGUGGGGUCGUGUUAAUACCUUAUGAUGCCUGGGAGGUACAGAGUACAAAACAAUGUUGUUAGUCCCACCUGGGCAAUAAGGCAUGUGCUUAAAGUUGAGAUUGUGUAGUACAAGACAAGUCUAAUUCUGCCUUGAACUAACACAGCACAGUUCUCAAUUCGUGUGCGUGUAUAUAUAUUAUAUAUGCACAGAUUUUCGGCUUUUAAAUGGCUUGUUCUUUAUAACCACGAUCAAUAGUAAGAUAAUUUAUGUGGGAGGAAAGGUUAAACAUAAUUAUGUGAAUAAUCUGAAGAUGCUUAGGAAAUACUUUUUUUUUUUUUAGGUGCAAAAACCAUAUGGUUUCUCCACUCAAAAGAAUGCUUGUGUCUUAAAUAAUAUGAUUAAGAGUGGAAGUGAAGGAAACAAUUCAGGAAAGUGUGAACUGGAAGGAUAGUGAACAUGAUAGCAGUGAAUAUGAAUCAGUAGAUAGACAAUGAUAAUUGUUGAUAAAGAAAAUAAAAGCUGUUAGAAAAAAUUGAUGGUCUGUAGAAUGUGAGGUCUUAUAAGGAUGGCAAAAGGAAUUUAAAUUCAUUGGCAACAAAUUAUAGGCAUGGUAUAAAUGAAAUGCUUGACAAAGGAAUAUAAUACCAAGUCCUGAAUUUAAAAAGAAAAA